rnacentral:ncRNA from 1 species
AGUUUAUCCAGAGUGAUAGCGAGGGCACUGGCCCCAUGACCUAUCCAGCAACCCUUGGAGCUGACAGCUUCAAGAAGGUGCUAAAUCCAGCCCGAAAGGGAGAGAUAAGGA